rnacentral:tRNA from 1 species
UCCCCAGUGGCGCAAUUGGUUAGCGCACGGUACUUAUAAUGCCUGGGUUGUGAGUUCGAGCCUCACCUGGGGAA